rnacentral:rRNA from 1 species
AACCCUUGUCCUAGUUACCAGCACGUUAUGGUGGGCACUCUAAGGAGACUGCCGGUGACAAACCGGAGGAAGGUGGGGAUGACGUCAAGUCAUCAUGGCCCUUACGGCCUGGGCUACACACGUGCUACAAUGGUCGGUACAAAGGGUUGCCAAGCCGCGAGGUGGAGCUAAUCCCAUAAAACCGAUCGUAGUCCGGAUCGCAGUCUGCAACUCGACUGCGUGAAGUCGGAAUCGCUAGUAAUCGUGAAUCAGAAUGUCACGGUGAAUACGUUCCCGGGCCUU